rnacentral:misc_RNA from 1 species
AUUAAUCAAGCAAUUAAUUUUCUAUUAAGGCUUAACAAAUACGUCUAAUAGUCUCACAUGAUGGAUGCUUUAGGAUGAAUAUAUAUAUAGCAUAGUGCCUUCAUAUGCAUCAUUUCGUUGUAUGUUCUCUUCUCACACAAAAAUUUUCUACCAUGGAGGAUCAGUUUCCGAGAAUGGAGACCUUCAUACGAGAAGACUUGCCUUGUUAUAGUUUUCAUGGAAUGGCUACAGGAUCCAAAUAUUUUCAUGAUUCCAUGAUUUGGGGAGCUUCAACUGAGACUACUACUUGCAGGGACAAUGGGAAUAGUGGCAUCAAAUCAACAACAUCAUCAUCAUCAUCUUCUUCUU